rnacentral:lncRNA from 1 species
CUGGCGGCAGGACAUGCCUAGUCCUCAGCCUUAAGAAGUGCUACAAACUUCUGCCUUGUCUGCUCUCUUGUGGCUGACAGCCCCUGUCCUGCGGCCUCAGAAAGCAGCAGCGGUGGCAGUGGCCAGACUGUAGUCACCCGCUCAGCUCACUGCCCUCCCUAGUCGGCCAUGAUAACGAAGCAUGCUACAAUUCUCCUUCCCGGAGCCAGAGAAGUACUGGUGAUAAGGAAGGCUGGGAGAGAAAGAAGAUACUGUAUGUCUG